UGUUUCACAGCACCAACACCACUGAGGGAAAGAAGCUGAAUGAAGAUAACAAAACCGCAGGUCCUGGUGAUGGCCUGCCUUGUUUGAUGUCUCGCACGCAGAAAGUGGAAUCUUCAUUCUACAAAAACGAAAGGCCAUCAUCCGAUGUCUCAUUGACCAUCCGGGAGAAGAUGCAAGUGCCUUGAUGAAGGACUUUGAGACUGCACGCGUCAAGUCCACCAUGUUACUAUAGUAGCCCUGAACGGACAAACCAAACAAUGACUCUAGAUAGGGCCUUCCCAUUUUUCUGAAGUUUCACUGCCAUCGUAGUUUCUCCUAUACACUUGGCCCGACCUAGAGCCAGUCUUUGGUUUGUCCAUUCUGCACUACUGUAGAAACAUGACUAUGCAACGUGGCGGACUCUGAGCAAGAGGACCCGUGCCGUCUGUACACAUAAAAAGGGUCAUAAUAGGUGAUUAUACACUAC